rnacentral:rRNA from 1 species
CGUUAUUCGGAAUUAUUGGGCGUAAAGGGCGCGUAGGCGGCUAGAUGUGUCAAAGGUGAAAUCCCUCGGCUCAACUGAGGAACUGCCUUUGAAACUGUCUGGCUUGAGGCCGGGAGAGGGUAGCGGAAUUCCCAGUGUAGCGGUGAAAUGCGUAGAUAUUGGGAGGAACACCAGUGGCGAAGGCGGCUACCUGGACCGGUUCUGACGCUGAGGCGCGAAAGCGUGGGUAGCAAACAGG